rnacentral:lncRNA from 1 species
UGCUAGCUGUGGUCGUUGGUUUCUUGUUGGUUCCUCGAAUAUUAUCGAGGACCUCCAUCGGACACUUCCUGCAAAAUCGAUGGCGGUUUUUGGAGGAGUGUUUUCAUGCGCACCAGUUCUACAAGAUUCCUAAAUUCAAUCAAUAUAUGCAGGAGAAUCAACUUCAUCACAAAGUGUUACUCUAUCUUAAUUCCUUACCUUCCGCCGGUGAUUCCGAUUUCGUCAAUCUGUUUUCCGGGAAUAACAAGGCAAACGAGAUUACCCUCGUUAUUAACGCCGACCAGGUCUUCCCCGAUUCGUUUCUC